rnacentral:tRNA from 1 species
UCUAAUAUGGCAGAAAAAUGCAACAAUCUUAAGAUUUGUAGAUAAAUAUUAUUAUUUUGUUAGAA